rnacentral:rRNA from 1 species
UAGCUAAGUUCGGAAUUGAUAAGCGCUGAAAGCAUCUAAGCGCGAAGCGAGCCCUGAGAUGAGUCUUCCCUGACAGUUUAACUGUUCUAAAGGGUUGUUCGAGACUAGAACGUUGAUAGGCAGGGUGUGUAAGCGUUGUGAGGCGUUGAGCUAACCUGUACUAAUUGCCCGUGAGGCUUAACCAU